ACGCACGCUGGCGGCGUGCUUCACCCCUGCCAGUCGCACGGAAAGGCCCUGCUUUUGUGGGGUGCUCGAGUGGCGAACGGGUGAGUAACACGUGAGUAACCUGCCCUUGACUUUGGGAUAACUUCAGGAAACUGGGGCUAAUACCGGAUAGGAGCUCCUGCUGCAUGGUGGGGGUUGGAAAGUUUCGGCGGUUGGGGAUGGACUCGCGGCUUAUCAGCUUGUUGGGGGGGUAGUGGCUUACCAAGGCUUUGACGGGUAGCCGGCCUGAGAGGGUGACCGGCCACAUUGGGACUGAGAUACGGCCCAGACUCCUACGGGAGGCAGCAGUGGGGAAUAUUGCACAAUGGGCGGAAGCCUGAUGCAGCAACGCCGCGUGCGGGAUGACGGCCUUCGGGUUGUAAACCGCUUUCGCCUGUGACGAAGCGUGAGUGACGGUAAUGGGUAAAGAAGCACCGGCUAACUACGUG
rnacentral:rRNA from 1 species